UACGUAGGGGGCAAGCGUUGUCCGGAUUUAUUGGGCGUAAAGAGCGUGUAGGCGGUUUGGUAGGUCCGUUGUGAAAACUCGAGGCUCAACCUCGAGACGCCGAUGGAAACCAUCAGACUAGAGUCCGGAAGAGGAGAGUGGAAUUCCUGGUGUAGCGGUGAAAUGCGCAGAUAUCAGGAGGAACACCGGUGGUGUAAACGGCUUUCUGGACCAUAACUGACGCUGAGGCACGAAAGCGUGGGUAGCAAACAGG
rnacentral:rRNA from 1 species